GAUGAACGCUGGCGGCGUGCUUAACACAUGCAAGUCGAACGGUGAAGCCCAGCUUGCUGGGUGGAUUAGUGGCGAACGGGUGAGUAACACGUGAGUAACCUGCCCUUGACUCUGGGAUAAGCCUGGGAAACUGGGUCUAAUACUGGAUAUGACUUCUCAUCGCAUGGUGGGGGGUGGAAAGAUUUAUUGGUAUUGGAUGGACUCGCGGCCUAUCAGCUUGUUGGUGAGGUAAUGGCUCACCAAGGCGACGACGGGUAGCCGGCCUGAGAGGGUGACCGGCCACACUGGGACUGAGACACGGACCAGACUCCUACGGGAGGCAGCAGUGGAGAAUAUUGCACAAUGGGCGCAAGCCUGAUGCAGCGACGCCGCGUGAGGGAUGACGGCCUUCGGGUUGUAAACCUCUUUCAGUAGGGAAGAAGCGAGAGUGACGGUACCUGCAGAAGAAGCGCCGGCUAACUACGUG
rnacentral:rRNA from 1 species